UGUGUGUGUGUGUGUGUGUGUGUGUGUGUGUGAGAUACACACACACUCGUGGCAUCUCUGGGGGGCAAAUGAAUGGUUGCUCUCUAAAACUAUGUCAUGCUAAAAUAUGACUAAUGUGUUUUGUUGUAGAUGCCGCGUCCAAGCAAGCAGUCCAAGGCAGCCAAGCGGCGCUGUGCUGAAAGAGGGCUGACUGCAGUAGACCUGGGGUCUGCUGCCGAGGUCGCGCUUCCUCGUAAAAUUAAAGUUGCCAAGGUCGCGCUUCCUCGUAAAAUUAAAGUUGCCGAGGUCGCGCUUCCUCGUAAAAACAAAGUUGCCGAGAUGGCGCUUCCUCGUAAAAAACAAGUUGCCUCCAAAACUCUGCCAAAACUCUGCCAACAUUCUGCCAACAUUUUGCCAACAAUUUGCCAACAAUCUGCCAAAACUCUGCCAAAACUCUGCCAAAACUCUGCCAAAAUUCUGCCAAAUGACCUGCCAAAUACUGUGAAUUACAUGAAAGACGAUAAUGUUACCGAUGAUUGUUUGAUUCUGCCUGUUGACAGAUCUGUGCUGAUGGGGUCGUUUCAUCAAGAUGAUUUACAGUUCGGAAAGGAUCGCAACAAGCAAUGUGGUGCCAUCAGUCUGACUGCAGUUCUGAAGUCCAAUCUGAGUGACGUGUGGACCUGGACGAGCAGAGAUCUCGAUGAUGUUUUGAUUAAGGGAACUGUACUUUACAGAUCAAUGAAUGCACAGCGUCUAAUAAGAGACCAAGAAAGAGGUUACAUUGCUGUGUCUGAAUUGCCUAGACACUACAAAGUGUGGAAUACAAAUUUUGCAAUUAACUAUGCAGAGUCUUUCACUGGAUUGAUUCGUGUUGAUGACUAUGAUCAAAGUUUACGUGAUGUUGCUAUGCCUUUUGAUGAAGCACUCCAGCGUUCACUAUAUGGUAAUGAUGCUUGUUUGUUAACCAUUUGUGCUAAUACAUGUGCAAUAGUCAAUGGAAGAGGCAAGUUUGCAUUUGUUGAUUCACAUAUAAACUCAAAUGUCAACAGGAAAGGUCGAAGGGCAAGCUGUGUUUCAUACUUCAACUGUUUACAGACCCUGAUCCGUCAUGUGUAUGACUUUGCAGAACGGUUUGGCGGAAGUACACCCCGAUUUGAGGCAACAGGUGUGAAAGCUGCAAUAAUCCAUGUCGACCCUGACAACGCCAACUACAGUACAAUGGUAAACCGUCCACUCUACAGUGACAUAGUCAAAGCAUUUGUUACAGCUCGUCUUUGACCUUGACAAACAUCCUGGGAGGAAACUCAUCAUGGGAGACUUCAAUGAGGAUAUCUUUGUGUCGUCUACCAUUGCCAAGUUACUGGAACAGCAUGGGUACAGUCAACACGUGCACACAGCCACAACUGAAAAAGUAAAAUGAAGAAGCACAAAAGGAGGGUCUGACCAUGCAGAGUAACUCUGUAAGACAAGAGAAGGCUAUCGAACACACUCGGACAGAAAACCUGGCUGAGCUUCGGAACCCAGAGGACAUACAGCUUCAAAGUCAUUGAAUGCAUUACUGUUAAAGCAUCUUUUGUCAUGAAAAGCAGUACCAAUAUCCUGCUGAUGGAGAAAUACCUGGAAAAAAGCGUGUUGCUGCUCAUCUACCUUUUUCAUCGUUGAGGCCUGAUCAAACUCAUCUAUUUUCACCUGUGGUGCAGACCUUCAGUAACAGAUUCCACCUGUUGCAGCUUGCUCGAGCUCAUCCAUCUUCACCUGUAUCCCAAACUUCCAAGACCAAUCCGAACUACAAAAUCCACUGCUGCUAGAAGUUUGACUGUCCAUGAUGGUCUUGUGAGAUCACUUUCCUUAAUUUUUUAAAGCGUGUUACGGUGACUGGACUGGAUGCCUGGACUCUCCUCAUGGUUAACUGGCCAGCACCACAUCACCGUGUUAUAAAAUGAUUAAUCAUUUUAUGAUUAAUCGUUUUUUGUUUUAUAUCUGUUUUGUUUGUUUUUUAGCACUUUGGUGACCAAUUUAAUAUGAUGUGCAUGUGUUUACCUGUAUGUCAAUUAUGGCACCCACUCCUGACCAUCCCUGGAAGAAGGGAUCCCCUACUAUGCGUUUCUUCUCAAGAUUUCUUCCUUGCUAAUUUCAAGGGAGUUUUUUCUUGCCCUUGUGGGGGCUUGGGUAAAGGGGGGUGUCAUAAAUAUUUUACCUGUUAAGCCCUUUGUAAUGGUGAUUAAGGGCUAUACAAAUAAACUUGAAUUGAUUCCAUUAGUUUGUAUACUAUUUACGAUAUCAUGUCACAAGAUGGAUAAGACAACAUAACAAUGUUGUAUAUAUGCAUUAAGAGUAUUAAAAGUAGGUGGUGUGUGUGUUUAUUACUACCUUUUAUCAGUAGUUGCACUAUGGUUAGCACUAUGGGUGAUGUGGAAAAUACUGAAUCAUACCUCAAGUAUGAUUCAGUAUUUUCCACAUCACCCAUCAUCACUUAUAUGAUUAAACCCUGAGUACUUGCUUGUUUAUUUAGAUUGGCUUAACAGAAACGAUGCUGCCUAUCUCUUAGUAUUGACCACAAUAAUUUAACUUCAUGAUUUUUCCUACCAUUGACUGACUGGGUCUUAAUUAAUCAGUGGUACAAUCCCAAUUACAAUCAGGAUGAAGUGAACAUACUCUGAAUGCUAUGCUCUUACUCAAAUAAAUGUUGACACAGAUUCUGUAAUGGUGUCUUGAAGAGGAGUUGUGCGCACAUC
ensembl:lncRNA